GGGGGUGUAGCUAAGAGGUCCAACAUUUGACUGCAGAUCUAGAGGUCCCCGGUUCAAAUCUGGGUACCCCCU
rnacentral:tRNA from 1 species